GAUGAACGCUGGCGGCGUGCUUAACACAUGCAAGUCGAACGGUGAAGGCGGAGCUUGCUCUGCUGGAUCAGUGGCGAACGGGUGAGUAACACGUGAGCAAUCUGCCCCUGACUCUGGGAUAAGCGCUGGAAACGGCGUCUAAUACAGGAUACGAGCCGCGAAGGCAUCUUCAGCAGCUGGAAAGAACUUCGGUCAGGGAUGAGCGCGCGGCCUAUCAGCUUGUUGUUGAGGUAACGGCUCACCAAGGCGUCGACGGGUCGCCGGCCUGUGAGGGGGACCGGCCACACUGGGACUGAGGCACGGCCCAGACUCCUACGGGAGGCAGCAGUGGGGAAUAUUGCACAAUGGGCGAAAGCCUGAUGCAGCAACGCCGCGUGAGGGACGACGGCCUUCGGGUUGUAAACCUCUUUUAGCAAGGAAGAAGCGAAAGUGACGGUACCUGCAGAAAAAGCGACGGCUAACUACGUG
rnacentral:rRNA from 1 species